rnacentral:rRNA from 1 species
GGUAAUACGGAGGGGGCAAGCGUUGUUCGGAAUUAUUGGGCGUAAAGGGCAUGUAGGCGGUUUGGUAAGUUAAAGGUGAAAUACCAGGGCUUAACCCUGGGGCUGCUUUUAAUACUGCAGGACUAGAGUCCGGAAGAGGAUAGCGGAAUUCCUAGUGUAGAGGUGAAAUUCGUAGAUAUUAGGAGGAACACCAGUGGCGAAGGCGGCUGUCUGGUCCGGUACUGACGCUGAGGUGCGAAAGCGU